GCCGUACGAGGCAAGCGACCAAGCAAGUCGAACGACCUCCUAAAGCGGGUGUCGGCAGUUCGAAUCUGCCCGGGGGCACCA
rnacentral:tRNA from 1 species